AACGAUGAACCACUUUCGGUGGGGAUUAGUGGCGAACGGGUGAGUAACACGUGGGCAAUCUGCCCUGCACUCUGGGACAAGCCCUGGAAACGGGGUCUAAUACCGGAUACUGACCCGCUUGGGCAUCCAAGCGGUUCGAAAGCUCCGGCGGUGCAGGAUGAGCCCGCGGCCUAUCAGCUUGUUGGUGAGGUAAUGGCUCACCAAGGCGACGACGGGUAGCCGGCCUGAGAGGGCGACCGGCCACACUGGGACUGAGACACGGCCCAGACUCCUACGGGAGGCAGCAGUGGGGAAUAUUGCACAAUGGGCGAAAGCCUGAUGCAGCGACGCCGCGUGAGGGAUGACGGCCUUCGGGUUGUAAACCUCUUUCAGCAGGGAAGAAGCGAAAGUGACGGUACCUGCAGAAGAAGCGCCGGCUAACUACGUGCCAGCAGCCGCGGUAAUACGUAGGGCGCGAGCGUUGUCCGGAAUUAUUGGGCGUAAAGAGCUCGUAGGCGGCUUGUCACGUCGGUUGUGAAAGCCCGGGGCUUAACCCCGGGUCUGCAGUCGAUACGGGCAGGCUAGAGUUCGGUAGGGGAGAUCGGAAUUCCUGGUGUAGCGGUGAAAUGCGCAGAUAUCAGGAGGAACACCGGUGGCGAAGGCGGAUCUCUGGGCCGAUACUGACGCUGAGGAGCGAAAGCGUGGGGAGCGAACAGGAUUAGAUACCCUGGUAGUCCACGCCGUAAACGGUGGGCACUAGGUGUGGGGCGACAUUCCACGUCGUCCGUGCCGCAGCUUAACGCAUU
rnacentral:rRNA from 1 species